GCUGAAUGUCACCAUAAUCAGUACUGUACACACAGUGACCCAGAAAGGCUCUGGCUGCCAGCAGCAGGUCAGGCAUGGCUGUGAAAUCAUCAGAAGCCGAUCUGGCCGCCCGGGUUCUCACGCAAGGGCCCCGACUCAGGCAUACUUGCCAAAGAAGCUCAGCUCUCUUGCCUGCUGGCGGAAAUGAAAGAACAUGGUAAGGUCUGCAGUCAAGUGGUGCCUACGGGAGAUGAAACCAGGACACAGCAGAAGAAAUAAAACCACAACUUCAGGCCCAGUUCUUCUUGAAUGCAGUUCUUUGACCACACAACAGACUAAAAGAUGUACGGUUAUAUGACUCAAUGGGGAGCAACUGGCUCAAAGACAAUCUCCAAUGUAAAUGCUUUUUCUGUCUCUAUUCACCAGGCGUGUGCUGUCUACAUGGUCUUGGGUAAAUGUGAAUGGUGUGUAUACUUUUUUAACUUUUUUUAAUUUUAAAAUAUUCUAUUUUUAUUUUUUAAUUAAUUGUUUUAAUUAUUUAUAUCCCAAAUGUUGCCCCUUACUUAUUUGUUUCAUGUGCGUGGGAGUGGAGAAGCUGUGUACAUGGCUGCACAUGCUGGUCAGAGGACAAGGUUUCUCCAGCAAGAUUGUAAGGACACAGAAGUCCACAACAGCAGUGAGUGAGUCACCAGCAACAAGCGUCACUGGAAUGCUACUAGCACAGUAAACAGAAACCUUUCUCACAUGCAAUGACCAGGAGGGGCUGUUAAGCCUCACAAUCAGGGCUCUUCCUUGGGUGAUGGAUCUGGAUUCUGAGGGAUAAGAAGGGCGUUCCUCCACGUGAGUAAGGUCCAAAGUUCUUCUCAGUGAAGUGAAGCAUCAGCUUGUGACAGGCCCUGCACUGUGUGCUAAGGAUGAAGACCCAAAGAGCUUAUCCUACUGGCAAGAUGUCUCAGUGAGCCAAGCUUUGCUGCAUGAGCCUGGUGAGACCCCUCAGAGGUGGUAAGAGCAAGCAGAUUCUGAAAGUUGCCCUCUGACCUUCAUGCAUGUGCCCUGGCAUGCAGGCCUGUGAUCACACAUCCUACACACAAAAUAAUAAUAAGUUCUUUUUUUAAAAGAGCUUUUAAAAAGCACAUCCAUGCUUGAGGAAGCAGAAAUUAUAAUUUUUGAGUCUAACUACUAGAGAAAGUCUAAAGGUUAGGCUCUGGCUCAGACCUGGGUGGAGGAGGUUGGGCAGAGGGUGGGGAUUAGCAAGGAUUCCUGAAGGACUUGGAGUCUGAGACAAACUUUGAAGAAUGAAUAGGCAUCAGUUCAACAAGAACUAGGAAGUUCAGAUAGAACACAUGUUCAAGGCCUCAAAACAAGAACAAGUAUUAUAGAUUCAGGAAAAUGAGAUCCAGGAGGCUAGGCAUCCAAACCCAAAACUUCACUAAAAAGACUUUUUCGGGUCCAGGGGGACGGCUCAGAUAGUUUGUUUUGUAACCAUGAGGACUCGAGUUCAAAUCCUCAGCAUUCCUGUGAAAACCUGGCUGCUAAUACCUGUUGCAAGGAGGGCAGGGAGAGACAGGAGGCUCCCGGAAGCUUACUGUCUAGCCAGACAAAAAGGAAAAUGUCUGAUUCAGUGGGAGACUCUGUCUCUAGUGAAGAAGGUGGAGAGGAACAGAAGUGGCUGCCCGUUUUCUUCUGGUACCCUCUGCAUGCAUGGCCAACUGAACACAUAUGCACAUACAACACACACAAGAACACACACAUGCAUACACACACACAUUCAUGCACACAUAUACAUACAACAUAUAUGCACACACCUACAUAUGCACACACACAUGUACACACAUAUUCAUACAUACACACACACAUACACACACACACAUCCUUUUAAAUGAAUGCUUGAAUUUCAACCCAUUUCCUGGUAAGAACUGAAGAAUCACUUGUUCCUGAGGCUUGUGGAAGAUCCCAGAUACCAUAAAACUACAAAUGAUCAAUCAGCGAUGAAAGAGAAGACAGUCAUAUCUUGUGAAAACAGGCUCCGACAUGCUUAGUGAUGACACCCUUGUAUGAGGGUACCUGAGACUCAGCAAGUAGCAACAUAAUCUUUGAAGUGUUCUUUUUGGAGUUAAGAUACCUAAAUUUGGAAAAAUAAUUUUGACUAAUCAGGCCCAAAUAGUAUAAAUAGCCUUUUGUUUUGUUACUGGGGAUAGAACUCAGGGGCCAGGACAUAUUGGACAAUCGCUCUACCCCUAAACUAUUUUACCUCUCCACUUUUCUUUUUUUUUCAACAUUCUU